GAGUUUGAUCAUGGCUCAGAAUGAACGCUGGCGGCGCGCCUAAUACAUGCAAGUCGAGCGAGAAGACGUAGCAAUACGUUUGUAAAGCGGCGAACGGGUGAGGAAUACAUGGGUAACCUACCCUAGAGUGGGGAAUAACUAGCCGAAAGGUUAGCUAAUACCGCGUACGCUCCUUGGACUUCGGUUCAGGGAGGAAAGCGAUGCCGAGGGUAUCGCGCUCUUGGAUGGGCUCAUGUCCUAUCAGCUUGUUGGUGAGGUAACGGCUCACCAAGGCUUCGACGGGUAGCUGGUCUGAGAGGACGAUCAGCCACACUGGCACUGCGACACGGGCCAGACUCCUACGGGAGGCAGCAGUAAGGAAUAUUGCGCAAUGGGCGAAAGCCUGACGCAGCGACGCCGCGUGGGGGAUGAAGGUCUUCGGAUUGUAAACCCCUUUCGGGAGGGAAGAUGGAAUGGGGUAACCCAUUCGGACGGUACCUCCAGAAGCAGCCACGGCUAACUUCGUGCCAGCAGCCGCGGUAAUACGAAGGUGGCAAGCGUUAUUCGGAUUUACUGGGCGUACAGGGAGCGUAGGCGGUUUGGUAAGCCCUCUGUGAAAUCUUCAGGCUUAACCUGGAAA
rnacentral:rRNA from 1 species